CCUACGGGUGGCUGCAGUGGGGAAUAUUGGACAAUGGGCGCAAGCCUGAUCCAGCAAUGCCGCGUGUGUGAAGAAGGCCUUCGGGUUGUAAAGCACUUUUAUCAGGAGCGAAAUACUACCGGCUAAUAUCCGGUGGGGCUGACGGUACCUGAGGAAUAAGCACCGGCUAACUUCGUGCCAGCAGCCGCGGUAAUACGAAGGGUGCAAGCGUUAAUCGGAAUUACUGGGGGCGGUGCGUUAAGUGGGGUUGGAAAUCCCCGGGCUCAACCUGGGAAUGGCAAUGGAUACUGGGUCGCUAGAGUGUGAUAGAGGAUGGUGGAAUUCCCGGUGUAGCGGUGAAAUGCGUAGAGAUCGGGAGGAACAUCAGUGGCGAAGGCGGCCAUCUGGAUCAACACUGACGCUGAGGCACGAAAGCGUGGGGAGCAAACAGGAUUAGAUACCCCUGUAGUC
rnacentral:rRNA from 1 species